UGACCCUUCGGCGCCAGCGAUCCUCGUGGCCUUUUAGGCUUGGCCGCCAUACACUCGGUAAGGCCAACAGCUUCCAAACACCCGACCUGCAUAACCCCUUUGGGCGUUCCAACGCGGCGCCCCCUA
rnacentral:lncRNA from 1 species